GAGUUUGAUCCUGGCUCAGGAUGAACGCUGGCGGCGUGCUUAACACAUGCAAGUCGAACGGGGGUGCCAUGAACGAAGCAUCAGUUUACUGAUAUGGAGGGAAUGGGACCCUAGUGGCGGACGGGUGAGUAACGCGUGGGUAACCUGCCCCAUACCGGGGGAUAACACUUAGAAAUAGGUGCUAAUACCGCAUAAGCGCACGGUACUGCAUGGUACAGUGUGAAAAACUCCGGUGGUAUGGGAUGGACCCGCGUCUGAUUAGCUUGUUGGCGGGGUAACGGCCCACCAAGGCGACGAUCAGUAGCCGGCCUGAGAGGGUGGACGGCCACAUUGGGACUGAGACACGGCCCAAACUCCUACGGGAGGCAGCAGUGGGGAAUAUUGCACAAUGGGGGAAACCCUGAUGCAGCGACGCCGCGUGAGUGAAGAAGUAUUUCGGCAUGUAAAGCUCUGUCAGCAGGGAAGAAAAUGACGGUACCUGACCAAGAAGCCCCGGCUAACUACGUGCCAGCAGCCGCGGUAAUACGUAGGGGGCAAGCGUUAUCCGGAUUUACUGGGUGUAAAGGGAGCGUAGACGGCAGGGCAAGUCUGGAGUGAAAGGCGGGGGCUCAACCCCCGGACUGCUCUGGAAACUGCCAGGCUGGAGU
rnacentral:rRNA from 1 species